UUUGUUAACUUGAAGGCUUCUGUAAAAAGAGUCUUUAAAAACAACUCUUGGCAAUGGAUCUCUUGGUUCUCGCAUCGAUGAAGAGCGUAGCAAAGUGCGAUAAUUAUUGCGACUUGCAUUCAUAGUGAAUCAUCGAGUUCUUGAACGCAUCUUGCGCCUAGUAGUCAAUCUACUAGGCACAGUUGUUUCAGUAUCUGCAUCCACCAAUCAACUUAACCUUUUGUGUUGAGUUGGAACUGGGCUUCUAGUUGAUGGCAUUUAGUUGCUGUCAUGGCCUUAAAUCAAUGUCCUAGGUGUUAGAACAUCUAACACCGGAUGGAAACUUUAGAGCGCUUUAAGAGCAGCUUGGUUAGUGAGUUCAA
rnacentral:rRNA from 1 species